rnacentral:lncRNA from 1 species
GCUGCCACAGGCAGACCCAGGUCCCUCGGGCUGAGUUCCAGCUGCUGCUGGGAGCAGUCUGUGGUCCCAGCUGGGCUGCACUGGACAUCAGCUGGAAUGCCAGGAGGAGCUCAGUCCUCUCAGAGAGAAGGCCUGGAGCAUUAUCUUCUGCUAAUGCAGGACAGAAAUCAAACGAAGAUGUCAAAACUGUGUUCCCCCUGCCUCAGGCAAAACAGAGCCAGGGUGACCCCCAAGUUCUUCCAAAGGGGAUCUCAGUUUGUGUGAAGGAAAAGCAUCUCCAGCAUCCUCAUAACUGAGGGCAGCGCGGGAUGAAAAGGAAAAUCAGAGGAAAAUAAUGGUGUCAGGACCUGGAUCUGAGAUCUGCAGCUUUAAAGGAGAGAAAAGCCAGGGAGAUCCCAGCCUCAGGGUGCAAGAUGUGUUGAAAUACAGAUGUUAAUCAGGAACAGGUGGUACCUCAUGUGGGUUCAGCAGUGACAUUUCCACGUUUUAAAUGCACUCCUUACUUGCUGGUAACAAAACUUCCCAUUACUACAAAGAAAUACAUAUUAUACCUCAAACAUGCUUCACUGAGCUUGGAGAGUAAAGAUAAAAUAAUCUUUUUAUAGCAAAUAGGAAUGAAUACUUAAAAAUAAUAAAAAGUUGGUGAAUAUUCA